CCGACUCACCCUCGUAGUUCACGCCGCUAUCGGUUACGUUGAUGCGAGCGUUGGUGCGAAAGCGGCCGGUGUUGCCCUCCACCGGAAUGGGGUUCUGAUUGAAGUCGAUGGUGUAGCUGACCUGCUGCAGCCCGAUGUUGCCCGAGACCGUGGCGAUGCCGGCCUCGCGCCGUGUGCGGAGAUUGACGUUGAACUUGCCAGUCUUGCCCUGAACGUGGUAGCCGGGCCCAUCAGACGGCAGCGGGAUGGUCGCGAUACCCUCCCAGCUCAAAAGGAAGGGCUGUCCAUCCAGCGACAGCGGCAGGAUAAGCUCGUUGGAGCGCUCCGCCAUCCAGGGGCAGAUGUACCAGUCGAUGAUCCCCUUCGGCGUGAGCCAGUUGGGGUCCAGACUCAGCUGCGUGGGCGGUGGAGAAAGCUCAACCUCGGGGGCCUGAAACUCACUCAUAGAGACGCUCCCUCCAUACAAACCUACAAUUCUAGGUGCUUCGCCGGGAAAACCCGAACCCCCUACAGCGGAGCGUUGUUAACAUCGGCGUGGUUUAACGUCUAACGAAAAUCCUUACAAUUUCAGUACAUGAUAAUCACGCCCGUCCUGACGCCCCAGCCAGCCGCGCCCCGCGUCGCCGGCGAGUUUCCUCAGAUCCCGAACGACGCCUGGGACUACGUCGACGCCCGAGAAGCCGCUGCCGAAGAGCCGGCCAACCUCAAAGGGGUCGUCUUCCUCCAGAAAUCCGAUCAGAGCAUGCAGGUGCUCAAGUUCAGCGGGCAGACCCGGCCGGAGGUGCCGGCCGGGGAGCCGUCAGAUAUCCCGGAGGAAGCCGUGCGGUUCAACCGCGUGGUGAUCAGCGUGGACGGGAUCCACCAGGAAUGGCCCGAGCAUCAGCGCCAGAUCUAUCGAUUUCUUCACCACGGCGGCCCGCCGGGUGGCGCAGGAGCGGAUGUGGCCCAGCCGGUGAUCGGCAUUCACCAGGGCUGCGGCCGGUCGGAAGUAGCGGACGGGGCGCGCAUCGGCAAAGACCUGAGCCUGCUCAAAGGGUUGCAGGCGGGGGUGCUCCCUACCGCCUGGGCUCUGGAGAAAGCCAGCGUGAUCGACCCGGCCGUCAAGUCCCUUCAUGACAUGGUGAAGCAAGCUCUCCACGACGGACGCGAAGUCCAGAUCGUGAACCACAGCGGCGGCGGCCAGGAGACCGCGCUGGCGCUGACGCUCUUGAAGAAAGAAGGCUGGGAGCAGCAGAUCAAGGACCAGGUGCGAGUGCUGGCGCUGGCGCCGGCCUGCUCGGUGAAAGACCUCCAGAUGGCCGGGAUCAAAGACGAGAACAUCUUCUACACGGCCAGCGAGCACGACCCGGUGUGGCGGAUCUUCCAUCAUCACGUGCAUACGAACCCGCUCAAGAUCCCGCUGAACGUGCUCCCGAUCUACGAGGGGGUCCGGUAUCUGAUCAACAUGCGGCGCGAGCACCUCGCGGUGCAUUCACCGGACUACAUCUUCCGCAACAACAUGCAACCGGACGGCAAGCAGCGCAUCCAGGAAUUUCUCACGGGGACGCCUGGCGGGACCUACGUUCUGCCUUAGUCGUUGAGGCGGACGAGGCGGGACGGGAUGUGGCUCGGAAACUGGAGGCCUGGCUCGAACUCGCGGCUCAGGUUCUCUAGCAGGCUGCGGAUGGAUCCCUGGCGCAUGGCCUGGUAGAUUCCCCCCACCAUUUCUUCGAUCGGCUCGGUCGUGACAGUCAUAACUUCGAUUUUCUCCAGUUUUGUGCCAAGAAACGCUACUACGCUUGCAGGCUCACUGCGCGCUGCGCUUCCGGUGAUACUCCUUGAGGGC
rnacentral:misc_RNA from 1 species